CCUACGGGGGGCAGCAGUCGAGAAUCAUUCACAAUGGGGGAAACCCUGAUGGUGCGACGCCGCGUGGGGGAAUGAAGGUCUUCGGAUUUUAAACCCCUGUCAUGUGGGAGCAAAUUAAAAAGAUAGUACCACAAGAGGAAGAGACGGCUAACUCUGUGCCAGCAGCCGCGGUAAUACAGAGGUCUCAAGCGUUGUUCGGAAUCACUGGGCGUAAAGCGUGCGUAGGCGGUUUCGUAAGUCGUGUGUGAAAGGCGCGGGCUCAACCCGCGGACGGCACAUGAUACUGCGAGACUAGAGUAAUGGAGGGGGGACCGGAAUUCUCGGUGUAGCAGUGAAAUGCGUAGAUAUCGAGAGGAACACUCGUGGCGAAGGCGGGUUCCUGGACAUUAACUGACGCUGAGGCACGAAGGCCAGGGGAGCGAAAGGGAGUAGAUACCCCUGUAGUC
rnacentral:rRNA from 1 species